rnacentral:lncRNA from 1 species
CAUCCGUCAAGGAGAGUAAAUGAUUACCAUCAGAUCCUGUUACUUUUUGACAAGGAGGAGGACUAGAGAAGGGAAUAGAUCACAAGGGGUGAGGAGGUAAGACACUGGGGCCACGGUGGCCAGCCUCCCAGGCAGGGACAUUGACAAGGGCCAGGCUACUUACCUUCCACCGCUCCAAGGAGGAGUCAUGGCUGUGUGGAGAGGAAUUUCUGCCCUGAACAUCUGUGCACUCGGCCAGCAUAGCGGGAACUCCGCCACUCAGACAUAUGAUUCACAUCAACUGUGUUUUUCACGAGUUUUAGAGACUUCUUUUUCAAAGCAAGGUUGACGUCAUUAUGAAGGAACUUUUUCCUCAUAGGUUCCAACUGAGGUACCGCUGGAAGUGGCAUCGGACAAGACCUUCAGAGUAGCUUUUCUUUUUUAUUUUUCUGUCCUUCUCCAGAGAUAGUUGUAUGGCCCCCCUUGAGUGACUUCAGUUUCCAGUCCUAUGGAUUGCUCCUCUGCAAAAUGAAUUGAUAAAACCAUGUGCAUCUCACAAGGUGGCAGUUAUACAUUGCUGAGGCCACAGAAGGGAACAAAAGAGAUAACUCAAGAGAACCAACUGGCUGAUAAGCAUCCAAAGCAGCAUCUCAAAACCCCUUCCAUCCAGAGUCUACACAGGCAUCCCUAUUCUGGGAAAAUCCUCUGGGAAAUGCCAAACCUGUUUACAACAAAGCAGAGACAGAGUGGGCCCUAUCACAAGGAUGUCACCUCAUCCCUUCUGGAUGGUUCCAGGAAGGGGGAAAACUGCUCAUAUCCACAGCCAAUCAAUGGAAAAUUCUUAAAACCCUCCACCAAGAGUUUCAUUUAA